CAUUCACGGAGAGUUUGAUCCUGGCUCAGGACGAACGCUGGCGGCGUGCUUAACACAUGCAAGUCGAACGAUGAAGCCCUUCGGGGUGGAUUAGUGGCGA
rnacentral:rRNA from 1 species